ACAACUGCACUCAUUGUGGUUCAUGCUUACACAGCUCUUGGCAGAGAAUGAACAGCUCUAAUCUGGAAAUUGUUUUGUAGGGACUUUCCACACACCACAUUCUCUGUUUAAAAAAAGAGGGAAAUCAUAGUUCUCGCAGCACUGAAUGACCGAUUUCUCUCCUUAUAGCCUUUUUUAUUUAUUUAAAAACACUAUGGAAAGUGUGAGUAUUCAAAGGCAGAGACUGCAAUGCUGCCAUUUGUAAUGUCAGUGCUAGGUUAAAGGUUGGACCAGAUGAUCUUGGAGGUCUUUUCUAACCUGAAUGAUUCUAUGGUUAUGUGAUUCUAAUGCGUUUUGUUAGAGCAUGUGAGGCCAUGAAAGUAUUUUGCUGCUAGAAGCAAAUGUGUACUACUCUUCCCUUUGCAAUUUAAAUACAACACUAUGUUCUUCAGAGCCUUAAUAAAUAAAUAAAUGAAAAUAAAACCCACCAAACUAAUGUUAACCAAAACAAUGUUAUAUUUUAAUAAUCGAAGAAAUUCUAAAGUAUUUCCAGCAAAAGUAAUCCUCGACUCCUGGAACUAAGAACAGCCAAAAAGCACCCCGCAGCCAGCCGCAUCCAGCACCUUUCCGCAGGGGAGCAGAGGAGGGGGAUGCCCGCGGUGCAGCCCCCGUCCCUGCCUCCUCUGCCCCUGAACGAGCCGCUGGGCAAUGCGGGGAGGGCAGCGAACUGGGGGAGCCCCCUCACCCUUCCUCGCCCCCUUCCUCCACCUGGGCGCCGUCAGCGGCCGCCCAAGCCCCCGGGGACCGUGCCGCGGCGCUCGGCCGUCGUGGCCCGGCACCGGCCGCCUCUCCCGGUCCGUCGGAGGAGGAGGAGAAGGAAGAGAAGGAGGAGGAGCCGUGGACACCUCCCCUGGCACUCGCCGCACUCCGAGCCGGCAGGCCGGGGGACAGCGCGCAAGGCGGCCGUGCGAACCGCACCGAAGCCCCCGCAGAUUUUUUUGGCCGCAAACCCGCGUUCAGCGAAGCCAAGCCCCCCGAGCCCCCCCGGACCCCCAACCCGUCCUCCCUUUCCCACCGGGGCUCCCGCAGCCGCACCCCUCCCCGCCUCCAGCCCUGCAGCGCUGCGCACCCGCGGAGCCCCCCGCAGCCCCCGGCACGGCUCGGCACGGCUCGGCACGGCUCGGCACGGCUCGGCAUGGCUCGGCACGCACUUACUCCGCGGGGCCUCCCGGGUGGAGGCUCGGGCCCGGCGGCUCCCCAGGCGCGUUGCUAGAAAAAAACAGCGAUGGGGUUUUACACUUUUCAUGAUGCAGGCCGACGGGACCACGUUCAAAAGCACGGGAGUCAAAAAAACAAAGGCGGCGAGGAUGCUGGAGGUGGUGUGGGUGAGUACCCUGGGCGGGCACCGCGUGUGCAGAGGAUGCGACCAGCUCUGGGGCCCGAGGUAUGGCCGGGGCAGAGGCUGGGGGCGACCUCCAGGGGCGAUCCAUCAACAGCAGCCCAUCCAGCGUCUCCCGCCCCCUCACUAA
ensembl:lncRNA